rnacentral:tRNA from 1 species
GCAUCUGUAGGGAACUGGUGAAACCCAUAGGCUUGAGGGGCCUUGCCCGUAGGGGCUUUCUUGGUUCGAUUCCAAGCGGGUGCA